GCCCUCGUAGCUCAGGGGAUAGAGCACCGGUUUCCUAAACUGGGGGUCACAGGUUCGAUUCCUGUCGAGGGUA
rnacentral:tRNA from 1 species